GUGGCGUUGGGGCUGCCCGCGUAACCUGCCCGCCACGUUCGUCACCCCUGUGACCAGGGCGAGGCCAGGGCUGGGGUUACCCUCCUGAGAGCCGCCCCGCUAAUCACCCGUCCCAAACUUUCUGUCAGCGCGAGGCCGGCGGGACCCGCCCAGAGGGCGGGCGGAAGCGGACCGUGCCGCGGCCCCGACCGCUCUAGGCAGCUUCCCUCGGCUGGCGAGGGAGCCGCGCUUGCCCGGUUUAGCCCUGGGCCCCCUGAGCCGCUGCCCGCAGCACUGGGGGGCCUUGAGUCCGGAGCGGGGCGGACCGGAGCGCCACUUGGAGCCAGAGAUUCAGGCAGCGCGGGGUUUGGGUGUGGGCUGGGGGUCACUGUCAUUUUGGCAUUUCUGUGGCCAGCGUUGGAAGAGGCCGCUGGUUAGUGGGCCCCUUGCCCGAGGGUGUAGGCUCCUAAAACUCCCCUGACAUUUGCACCGCGUUCGUCCUCUCCCGAACCCCCCACCCCCGCCCACGGGGGCUGAAAGUCGCAGGACUUUUGGUGGCCCCUACGUGUCUGGGCUGGGGUGGGGAUGGGAGGGCCGGUGUAGACGGGCCACCCCUUGACGGCUGGGGGUGAUGAAGCGGGACCCGCCGCAAGAGUUGAGGGGCCCAGUGCAAAAUGAAAAUGCCAGGUUCCUUGUGCAUGAGUUAUUGGGAACUCCAAAACGGUGAAAAGCAGAGCAUUAGACCCAGCGCCGGCCCCUGCGACCCCACAGGUCGUGGCCCGUGAACCUGUCGCUGUGCUUCCGGGACUGUGGGCCCCGAUCCGAUGCUGGAACCCUCCAUUACGAAGGGCUCCUGUGUGGUCUCGCUUUUUAGUUUUCAUUGUCAGUGCCGUUUGCCCUCCCCAGUGCCUUUGGAUGGAUCUUCGUCGCCGUCCUAGGAUUGCUCACCAUCCUCAAGCUGGAAAACCCACUGAAGAUCAGGCAUCUCUAAGUGCUGAGUUGAACAUGGCUGAAGGCUGGGGCUGUCUUUCUCCCUGGCGUCUUCCUCUGAAGCUGGCAGAAUGAUGGAGAGAUGGUACUGAUUGUAUGAAAGCAGCCCCUUCAGCCAAUUCCUGUCUUCCUGGGAAGACCCCUGGAAGAAACAGGCCUCUUGAGCCCUUGAUGCAGAUGACCACGAGUGGAUAGCCACCAGCAGGAGGAUGGAUUCAUGAAAGCUCAACGUUUCCUGCUAAUCCAUGAACCAUAAUGACUCCCAGGAUGCCCUAUGAUAAGUAUAUCCCACCUGUUUCCAAACCUCUGUCAGUGCAGAACAAGGCUGCCGCGAAUUAGGCCUGAAAUUACACUCACAGCUGUGUUUUGGUUUUUCUCUAGGGAAUGCUUUGCUGGUCUUCCAGCCUUCUGUCUGCCCUUGCUCUAAAGGAUGGGUUCUCCGAGUGCAAGCUUUGGCCAAGUUCCCACACAUACUCCAUGUAGAAAAGAGGCGGGUGCCCCCUCUGCUGCAUGCCACAUUUAUUUAUUUGAGAGAGAGAGAGAAUCUCGAGCCGACUCCCUGCAGAGCGUGGAGCCUAAAGCAGCGCUUGAUUCCAUGACCCUCAGAGGGUGACCGGAACACGGGGCUGGAUCCCAAGACCCUGAGAUCAUGACGUGAGCCGACACCAAGAGUCAGGCGCUCAACCAACUGGGCUACCCAGGUGUCCCUCCUUUGUAAUUUUAAGAUGAAGUCCUCAAAAGCAGGAAACAAAAGCCUGCCCAGAAACAACCGUUGGUGACUUUGACCUUGGAAGCGUCAGCAUCAUGGAUAGCCUUUCAGAUGGCCACAGUUUUGCCUGGUACUUCAGGCAGUUCAGUCAGAUGUGUGAGGCCUGCCCCCCGCCCCCAGGUAUGCCCAUAAGCAUCUGAACAACUGUAAGUCAAAUCCAUCAACAAACUAGUAAAUAAGGACUAGAAGUCACUUCAAACUUUUGAGUCCCCUGAUUUCUCGGAUGUUUGGUGUGGCUUCCCUAGCGGAUGGCUUCACUGAUGGAGAGCAACUCAACCAAGGAAACCAUGGCCCCAAACACUGAGCUGACUUAGGAAGCUCCGUUUAUCUGGUUACAUUUAGAAAUGGUUAUACUCUGUCUUUCAGUAUCGUGCUCCAGUAUUUACUAAGACAACGUCAUUACCUUGGUAUGUCAGCUCACCUUAAUUUCCUCCCUUUUGCAGCUCAUCAUGUUCGAAACAUUUGAAAGUAGCCUAUUGGAAUGGAUAUUUGAUGUUUGUUGCUCUUUGCCCACCUUCCUUUUCAUAGUCAUCUACAUCCCUCUGUCUUCGUACCCGGCUCAACUUCUGUGGUCAUUUUUAUCACUCGUGUGCCCUUUUGUUGCUUGUACUUGUUGGCAAAACCACAGUCUGUGAAGUCCAGCUCUCUCCAUACUCUGCCCUUGUAUAUGGCCCCAAGAGGAACACGUAUCCAGGUCAACUGAUUUCACACUAAAUUCUUGACUACUUACCUCAAGUGAACGCUUAAUGUAGCCUAGAAUCGCGUCUACUUCCCCGUCCAUUCAUUCUCCUCUUCUCCUAAAGGACAGUUUCAUAUCUUCUCUCCCUGAACUUCCUGUACCUCCUUCCCAGCCUCACAGCUGAUGAACCUGCUUCUUUUUUCAAUAAAGAGAUGGAAGCAAUGAGAAGAGAACUUCCACAAGUCCCCACCACCUCUGCCCACCCGCCGGUGUCUGUGCCAUCAGAGAUCUCGACCAGGCCUCUUCCUGUAGAUCAGGGCUUCUCAGCAGCUGUGUUGACAUUUGGGACUGAGUAACUCUUGGUCGUGAGGGUCGUUCUGUGCAUGGUAGGAUGCCUCACAGCAUCCCCGGCCUCUACCCACUCGAUGCCCCUAGCACCCCUCCCCCCAGCUGUGACCACCCAAAAUGUCCCCUGGUGGGGGGCGAAAUCUUGGGGGCCAUUUGGUAAUGUGUGCAGACACUUUGGGUUGUCACAGCAUGGCUGCAGGGGUUGGUAUGCUGCUGACUUCUAGGGGGUAGGGACCCGGGAUGCUGUGCAACAUCCUGCCAAGCACACCACAGGCCCCCACGGCAAAGCUUACCCAGUCCCCGGUGUCCGUCGUGCUGUCGCUGAGAGAUCCGGUCCUAGAUGAACUGUCUGCAUUCCUCUCAAAAUCCAGCCCGCCACCUGCUCUUGCCUCCUGCUGGAAAUCACUCCAGCAAGUCCCCUUUCUCCUACAUCAUUAUUUACCUUCUCUGUUCUCUCCUUCGGAUGAGCCUACGAGCAACGCUGCAAUCUCUCUCAGCAUUAAAAAGAACUCUUGAGGGGCGCCUUGGUGGCUCAGUCUGCCUUCGGCUCAGGUCAUGAUCCCUGGGAUCGAGCCCCGCGUCGGGCUCCCUGCUCGGCGGGGAGCCUGCUUCUCCCUCUCCUGCUCCCCCUGCUUGUGUUCCCUCUCUCGCUCUGUCAAAUAAAUAAAAUUCUGAAAAAAAGAAUUAAAAAAACAACUCUUGAUCCCCUUUCUGCCUGUAGCUAGUUUGAUUUGUUUGCUCCUCUUUGCAGCAGAACUCCUAGAAAGAUGUGUCCAUAGGCACUGUCUCCGAUUCCUCUCCUUUUGGAAGCACUUUGCCCUCCUGGCUUUUAGGACCCCGUCCUCUCCCGAUUUUUGUUUCCUACCUUGGGAGUCACUGCUUCUCAGUCACCUCUGCACUUGGACUUCUUCUCUAUUCAUUCCCACCCCCUGGACGACCUCAUUCAUUUGAAUGGCUUGAAAUAACACCUAUAACCUCAUUGAGACUUUCCUCCCAAACUCCGAAUCUACCUGCUCCACAUGUCCAUUUAGAUGUGUGUCUAAUAGGCAUCUCAAACCUAUCAGAGCUGCAGCGAAGCUCCUGAUGUCCACCUUCAAUCUGCUCCCCUCUCUCUUCCUCCUGUCAGAUCGCAACAGCUUCAUCUUUCUGCCUAUUGAGGCCCAAAACUUUGAAUUAGACUUGAUUCUUCUUUUCCUCAUACCCUGAAUCUAAUCCUACUAGCAAAUCCUAUUGGCUUCCCCUUUAGGAUCUAUGUGGAAUCCGAUCCGUCACUUUCUGUGUCUCCUCUGCUACCACAGCAGUCAAGGCCAUCAUCCCAUUUGGCCUGGGUCAUUGCCAAACACCUCAUAUCCCGGCCUCCCAGCUUCUGCCCUUUUCUCCCCAUGGAAUAUUCUCUGCACAGUAGCCAGAGUGACCUUUUUAAAAGGUAAGUUGGACUGUCUCACUCCUCUGCUCAGAACCCUCCAAUAGCUCCUCACCGUAGCUAGAGUGAAAGCCAAGGCCAUACAGUGGCCUGCCAGGCCCUGUGUGAUGCCCCUUCUCCCCCGUCCAUUACCUCUUGGAUUAUACAUCCUAUUACUUUGCCUUUUCUUUUACUGUGUACUCCGGCCACACUUGCCUGCUUGCUGUUCUUCAAACACACUGGGCCUCUUCUGCCUCGGGGCCUUUGGACCUGCUGUUCUCUCAGCCUUGAAUGCUCAUUUCCUAGGCCAUCCCAUUGCUCGCUCUCACCUUGCUCAGGUAUUUGCCCAAAUAUCUUGUCAGCAAGGCCUCUCCUGACUGCCCUAUUUACAGUUACUCUUCCCCACCCCCGCUUCUUCACACUGGAAAUGCGAUAUCCCCCUUUCCUGCCUUAUUUUGCUUUGCAAGACUUACUGCCAUCUCAUUUGCUGGAUAUUUACUUAGUCGUUUUGUUGCUUGUCCCCCGCCAUCCUGAACUAGAAUGCAAGUUCCAUGAAGGUGUGGAUUUGGUUCUGUUCACUGCUUUGCUCCACAGGGCCUAAUACCGGAUACAUAGUAAGGGUCCAGUAAAUAUGUCUUGAAUGAAUCUGUUCAGGGUUGGGAAUCUGUUCAGAGCCGGCUCAGUUACUCCCAAUCAGAGCUAAUCCUGGGGCUUUGCCCUGAACUCCAAGAAGAGACAUUUCCUUGUUCCUCGAUCCUUGACUUGAACGUGAGAUCAUCCCGAGGCUGGAGGUUCUGCUGCCCUAUCCUGACUAUUGCAAUGUAUCAGACCGGACUCGUAGUCGCAUACAACAGAACCCUCUUGUUCACAGUACUCACUGCUCUUCCCCCUGUGGGAUUUUAACACCAUUUCCCCCGCCGUAGGCUUGACUGAGUGACUUGUUCGGCCGAUUGAAUGUGGGCAGAAGUGAUGUGUAUCGCUUCCAAGCAGAAGUGUGAAGAGCCAGCUUGGGAUUCGCUACUUCAGUGUUGCCCUUUGCUAUGGGGAAAACAACGCUCAGAGAGAGGUUGUCCUGAGUCUUAGAGAAAAGACCCCAGGUGAUGGAACUGCCACCAACCUACGCUGGCCAUGGAAUCAGAGUGAAAAGUAAACCUUGAUCAUUGUAAGCCAUGAAGAUUUGGGAUUGUUUGUUACCAAAGCCUCACAUCACCUAACUGGAUUCAACACUUCUGCUAGUUUCACAAGAAAAUGAGUUUAUUAAAGGAUAGUUGGUGGUGUACAGUAUCUCCAAAAAGGCCUUGGAGACUCCAAAGCCAGGAAUAAUGUCUUAAUCUCACCGCGGGGCUGCACCAGCCAAGACACCCACUGAGUACAGAGGCAGCAACUCAAGCCAGUGAUGGGGCGCCACACCUCUAAAAACCGAACCCCUCUGUCACUAAUGUUGUCACAAGAUGGAUUUCAUAACCCCGUGGCUCCUCGUGCUGCCCUCUUAAGUGAAGUCUCUGGCGGAGCCUAAGUUACCCCCCUGUGCUCUUGUCUGGAGAGAGACUGGAAAAGCGAACGUCUUGUUUCUCCUUUGAGGAGGUGGGAGUCAAAUGCGGGGAAUGGAGAAGGGAGUGAGUGACCACAAAGCAUGAAGACAUCUGCUGCCUGCCUGAAGCCUAAGAAUGGAGCGAGGGGUUAGAGCUGAGAAGGAGAACGAUUGGAUGCCGUCCUGUAAGGCCUCCACCAAGCCAUGCCUUACGUACGCCUGUUGACUCCUCAGUUAUUGGAAGAAGGCAUUCCCGGUUUUGCUUAGGCCAGCUGGGAGUGGGUUCGCUGACGCUCGCGACAGAAGGAGUCCUGAUGAUUCAUGGAAAGUGGAUGGGCAUCAGCGCAGUGCCUGGCAGUGGGGUCCUGUCUCAGAUGCUCGGAAGUUUUGGUUGCCUUCAGUUCCCAGUAAAUGGGGAAAGAGCCCCUUCCAGCAGGGCAGGGUUUCGGUGUCAUUGUGUCUUGGGAGCCAGCCAGUGGUUCUCAAACACAGCAGGGUACUUGCUCGCCCGGAGCCCAGAAGCCAGGACAGGUGGGGGUCGAGAGUGGGCAACACAUCUGGGGUACCGUUGGUUGCUUACCCCCAAUUCAUUCUUCUUUUCCUCAGUAAUAAAGAAUAAACCCUUGUAUAGUACUUGCUAGGUAUUAGAGACCAUUCUAAACUCUUUGCUCAGAUUAACUCAUUUAAUCCACACAGAACCCUGUGAGAAAAGGUUGUCGUGCCUGGCUUAUAGAUGAGGAAACGGAGGCAUAGAAUAAUUAAGUGACUUGUGUAAGUCAUACAGCUAGUAAAUAAGGAGCAGGGCUUUACACCAGGCCAGCUGGCUCCAUAGGCUGUAUUCAACCUCUACACUGCACUGCCUGAUUUUGUUUCAUUUGGCAAUGUAUCCAGCUAAAACAACUUGAUUUCCCAGGCUCCCUUGCAGCUAAAAGAGACUGCACAGCACAGUUCUGGCCAUGAGAUGUUUGGAAGCAGGGGGGCUUCCAAAACCAUUUCUUUAAAUGAAGGUAGACUCAGGUGGUAUGCGUCAUUUUGCCCUUAGUUGUUUGCUUUCUGCCUGGAAUGCAAAUGUGGAUGUUGGAGGUAGAGCAGCUACUUUGUGACCGUGAGUUGACAAUUUUGAAUAAGAAAGCUACGUGACUCGGCUGAAAGAAAGAAGGUGCCUGGGUCCCAGCCGCAGAUUUCGUACUUCCAGAUUCUUCGUUUCAUGUGAAAAAUAAAACCCCUAAUUUGUAAUGCCGUUGUUUAGUAGGAGUUUCAGUUACAUGAAGGGAAAAUAUAUACCUACCGAUUCAACAUUUCCACAUUUCUCACCCUUAGAUGUCUCCUAUAUCAUUUUGACAGUGUCUCUGAUCUGCCCACCAGUUACUGAGGGGCUGCUCUGUGUCGCAGUCCCUUGGCCUGCAAUAUGUCUAGGAGCACAGUAUUGGGUAGUGUGGGAGUUUGGGUUUUUUUUUUUAAGUGUAUGAAAUGGCCCCAUCUCAAGGAGUUUGAAGAACAGUAAUUUACCUGAAGGACUGAUUUGUUCCAAGCUGUUAAUGGAUGAUAAUGGUUUGAUGUUGUUUUCCUAACUCAGGAUGUUAUUGAAUUUUAAUAGACCCUGUCUCCUCUCGAAGUAGAGACUCAAAAGAAGAGAAGGCAGAGGGGAGAGGGGGCAGGGUGAUAUGUGAAAAGUCUGUCUAACAGUAAAGAUGGCCUCGUGUGGUAUUCCUCUCAACACCAGCUAUCUCUAAUCUCCAAAAUCACUCACAGUCAAAACCAGUCACAACCAAUGAGCUUAAAUUUGGUAGAGAUAGCCACCCAGGAGAGGAACAGAUCAGAUGAAAAUCCUUUGUCUUCACCUCCCUUGUUUGUAUGUCUUGAGAUGCCACUAGUUUCUAAAGUCACUCCCUUGGGACUUUGUAACUGAGCACAGAACAAUUUGGCCACUCCCCUCUCCUACAGAAUCCCACUUAAAAGGAAAUAUCUGAUAGCUGCAUCUAGCCAAUGCUAAUUGUUGACGGAAAUGAAAUUGGCUACUCCCUCGACUUGCCCAGCACUUACUAUCUUCUUUAGAUUUACAAGGAGAUUCAACAGUGCACACAAUGGGACUUGCCUCUGAGUUGUUCCUCAUAGUCUGAUGGGAAGAUUUCAAGAGUGAUGCAGGUGUUAAACAAAAAUUAUAUUAUGGGUUUUUAUUAGUGAUUUUAAGUAUUUGUGAUUUGGGGGGAAUAUAAUUAGGGUAUAGUCUGAGGGCUAAUGUAAUAAUAAAACCAAUUAGCAGGUUGUUUAACUCAGUUAGAGGCUGUCUGCCGGCUAGCAGCUUUCCUCUGAUAAAUCCUGUUAAAAUUCAGGGGGUUCUAUUUUGUGCAGAAUGAGCAGGCUGCCAUGACAACUGUCUGUGAAUACUGUUUCAGUAUUAGUCACAGGUUUACAGUGUCAGCCUCUGGGUCCAGCGUUCAUUCUAAAACCCAAAUACACAUCUAUUCUUAAAGGAGUUGUCCUGGACAUAUUUACAAAAAAACAAAAAUAAAACACUUUCAAUUGCCUGGGUUUUCUCUUUUGGAAAAGAAAUAUGAAUGAAUUUACACGAUUGCAAAUUGCAGAUUUUAUUGCUGUUCCUUUCUGUUGGAAAGGCAAUUUGGGUAUGAAUUUACAUUGUGCUUGACCCUAGGUUUGAUUACAUAGAUGCACUAGGCAAGAGUACGGAAAGUUUCUUUUAAGUCUAUAAUCCUGGGCGCCUGGGUGGUUAAGUGACUGCCUUCGGCUCAGGUCAUGAUCCUGGGGUCCCGGGAUCGAGUCCCGCAUCAGGCUCCCUGCUCGGCGGGGAGUCUGCUUCUCCCUCUGACC